CGUACUAAAAACUUACUGUAUUUCUAAAUAGCAAAAUACUACCAGUUUGGAUAUUUAACAAUUGAAGGAUUUACAUUAAAUUUGUGGAUUUAAAUAUCUUUGAAGAGAGGAUUUAUAUUCUUUGGACAUACAAAAUUCAUUUUGGAUUUGUGAAUAAUUUGGAUUUAUCACUGAUUGGUUUUAGAUUUGACCAGGACAGUACUUGGGCUAUUUUAGGACACAAGAUUAGAUUUUACGGCUAUUUGACAUUUUAAAGAAAUGGUGACAACCUAUGAUAACUGGAAGUAUUGCAACACCAAUCAUCACACGCAAGGAAGGCAGAUCAAUCAAAUGGUAUUGGUUUGAUGAAAAUGCUUUGGUGUUGAAUGUACUCUUGGUGCGUCAAGUUAAAACAACACAGAAAUAAUUGAAAAUGAACAAGAACAAGAAAGAUAAAUAGGCAGUUUUAAUCUUGAGCCAUGUGAAGACGUCAGCAGACCGAUAACAGCCUGAGUAAUUCCACUGGUAAUUAUCAAGUAAAAGACAAUAACGUGAACGGCGAAGAUGUCGUUGACCAGUGAAUAUGAAACGUUUUUGUCAAUGGUAACGCAAAUAGUGAUUUUUUAGAUGGUGAUUACGAAAGGGUUGAUGAGUUUGUUCAUCAAUGUGUUACUUUACCCGUUGAAGAAAACAACCUAACAAAUAACAGUGUGAUUAUCGAUGAUGAAGUAAAUUUGAUGUGUAAUGCAGUAGAAGAGCUAAGAAAGGAGAGUGAUUUCGAUGACAGUACUGAUUGAGAAUUAGUGAUGAUGAACUGCUUUAUGCAGUGAGCGACGUCAGCCUCAAAUUUGAAGAAACAGGUGUCGGUGAUGUCAGUAAUGAUGAUUAAAUAGAAAGUGAUCAGAGUAUACGUGAUGAUAAAACAGAUGGAGGCAUAAGUGACGUAUUAUGAUGACGUCAGUGAUAACGAUGCAAAAGAAAGUGAUAAAAUAGGAAGAUAUGAAUAGGAAAUAGACAGUGAUGAUAUGACAGAUGAUGGUGGCAAUGCGACCGCCGGUAUCAAAAGUAAUAUUAGUAUAUCACAGUAAGUUCCGAGAUUGAAGACGGAUGGGAUCAAACGGCGCUGACACAUUCGAAAAUAAUUACAAAAUGUGAGAUCCAUACAGUAAUUGCCAUCAAAAACUUACUUAAAUGUAACCUUGUUGGUCUAAGCGCAGACCUUGAACAGGAUUAUUACGAACUCACAUUUCAGGCAAAUUAUUAUGUUACUUUAUAUAUCAUGGUUUGAACUCAAGGGUGGAGUGUCCUGAAAUCACAAAUAUUGUGUGGAUUUAGUGAGUUUAUCAGUUAAAAUAGUGUUUGUGUUAUUAUUUGGGUAAGAUAACUCACUAUAAAAGAUCAUACAUGUGUUCUAAGUACCUGAUAUUACUUUGCUCCUACAUGUUCUUGUAUGCUCCUAAAUACUGUAUUAUCAUAGGUCAAUGAGGAGGUCAUAGUUCAACCACAAAAUGAAAAUUUUACAAACAUCUUACAAAUCUUUUCUAGCAAAAAUCUUGAAAUUCAGCAGCAUAACAAUUUCCCUGUGUAAUUAUAUAGUUUAUAUAGGAUUUUGAUUUGGUAGGUUUGGUAGAACUCUUCCAUACCUCAUGUUUUUAUUUCUAUGUAAAUGAGAUGUGGAACCAAAAUUUGUAGUCCUGUUUGGCGCCAUGUAACCUAUACUGUGUUGGUGCGCCGUAAAACCUAAAUAAAUAAAUAAAUUUG